rfam:Ceratocystis platani strain CFO contig_00206, whole genome shotgun sequence.
AUACUUACCUUGCUUGGGUUCUGGGGGAUCAAGAAUCCUUGGGACCAUGGUCGGAAGCCUGCAUUGCACAUCGUGGAGUUUCCGGUCGUCGAUUGCCCUUCGUGGGCCAUCGCGAGUGGAAUUUUUGAUUUUAACAACUUGUUAUCAAGUUCUAUUU